rnacentral:rRNA from 1 species
CCUACGGGUGGCUGCAGUGGGGAAUAUUGCACAAUGGGGGAAACCCUGAUGCAGCGACGCCGCGUGAGUGAAGCAGUAUUUCGGUAUGUAAAGCUCUAUCAGCAGGGAAGAAAUAGCGACCUUUGGGUCGCCAGACGGUACCUGACUAAGAAGCACCGGCUAACUACGUGCCAGCAGCCGCGGUAAUACGUAGGGGGCAAGCGUUAGCCGGAUUUACUGGGUGUAACGGGAUCGUAGACGGCAUCACAAGUCUGAAGUGAACUGCCGGGGCUUAACCCCGGAACUGCUUUGGAAACUGUGCAGCUAGAGUGCAGGAGAGGUAAGUGGAAUUCCGAGUGUAGCGGUGAAAUGCGUAGAUAUUAGGAGGAACACCAGUGGCGAAGGCGGCUUACUGGACUGUAACUGACGUUGAGGCUCGAAAGCGUGGGGAGCAAACAGGAUUAGAUACCCGAGUAGUC